rnacentral:rRNA from 1 species
CCUACGGGAGGCAGCAGUGGGGAAUUUUGGACAAUGGGCGCAAGCCUGAUCCAGCAAUGCCGCGUGAGUGAAGAAGGCCUUCGGGUUGUAAAGCUCUUUUGUCAGGGAAGAAACGGAUGAGGCUAAUAUCCUUGUCUAAUGACGGUACCUGAAGAAUAAGCACCGGCUAACUACGUGCCAGCAGCCGCGGUAAUACGUAGGGUACAAGCGUUAAUCGGAAUUACUGGGCGUAAAGCGUGCGCAGGCGGUUUUGUAAGUUUGUCGUGAAAUCCCCGGGCUCAACCUGGGAAUUGCGAUGAAGACUGCAAGGCUAGAAUCUGGCAGAGGGGGGUAGAAUUCCACGUGUAGCAGUGAAAUGCGUAGAGAUGUGGAGGAACACCGAUGGCGAAGGCAGCCCCCUGGGUCAAGAUUGACGCUCAUGCACGAAAGCGUGGGGAGCAAACAGGAUUAGAUACCCUGGUAGUCCACGCCCUAAACGAUGUCUACUAGUUGUCGGGUUUUAAUUAACUUGGUAACGCAGCUAACGCGUGAAGUAGACCGCCUGGGGAUACGGUCGCAAGAUUAAAACUUAAAGGAAUUGACGG